GUAGACAUAGUUUAACUAAAACACUAGAUUGUGAUUCUAUAAAUAGGGGUUAAAACCCUCUUGUCCACC
rnacentral:tRNA from 1 species